rnacentral:rRNA from 1 species
GAUUGAACGCUGGCGGCAUGCCUUACACAUGCAAGUCGAACGGCAGCACGGGAGCAAUCCUGGUGGCGAGUGGCGAACGGGUGAGUAAUAUAUCGGAACGUGCCCAGUCGUGGGGGAUAACGCAGCGAAAGCUGUGCUAAUACCGCAUACGAUCUAUGGAUGAAAGGCGGGGGAUCGCAAGACCUCGCGCGAUUGGAGCCGGCCGAUAUCAGAUUAGC